rnacentral:rRNA from 1 species
AACGAACGCUGGCGGCAUGCCUAACACAUGCCAGUCGAACGAGACCUUCGGGACUAGUGGCGCACGGGUGCGUAACGCGUGGGAACCUGCCCUUAGGUUCGGAAUAACUCCCCGAAAGGGGUGCUAAUACCGGAUAAUGUCUUCGGACCAAAGAUUUAUCGCCUUUGGAUGGGCCCGCGUUGGAUUAGCUAGUUGGUAGGGUAAAAGCAUACCAAGGCGACGAUCCAUAGCUGGUCUGAGAGGAUGGUCAGCCACACUGGGACUGAGACACGGCCCAGACUCCUACGGGAGGCAGCAGUGGGGGAUAGUGGACAAUGGGCGAAAGCCUGAUCCAGCAAGGCCGCUUGAGUGAUGAAGGCCUUAGGGUUGUAAAGCGCUUUUAACCGGGAUGAUAAUGACAGUACCGGGAGAAUAAGCCCCGGCUAACUCCGUG